UCUGCAGCAACUCUAGAAGUAAGAUUUAGGAUAAUCAUAGUUUCAGUUUGCCAAGCAGGGAGUAUAAUUUAACUGGAAAUCAACCAACUAUUGCUUUGAACUGGAGUAUAAUUACCGAAGCGGGUCGAAGUGGGACGAUGUGGUUCGGUGGUCAACGGCGGCUGCGCAGGAUGCAGUAUGGUAUGGCUUGAGCAUCUCGAGGAGGGGCUCUCUCCGCAAGGCAUCCUCUACGCCACGGCGGAGGUGUUCGAGUAGUCCGAGGGGCUGCACGUGGAGCACGUCGACAUCUCCGUCUUGCCAUUGCUCAGCACCGCCCUGCCGGCUGGGGUUCUUAUUUUCCAUCGAGGCCUUCCGCAACUGGGACCAUGGUGACUGAUAGCUUCCUCUCCGGCUGGAUCGACAGUCUAUCCACCCAGUAAAUUUUUGCUCUUUUCUUAAAUUUUCUAUGUUUCUUUGUCUGAUUCUCAAUAAAGAGCUCAAACUCGAGAUGAGUUUUUGGUGACCUGGCCUAUUUUGUUGAUCUGCCGCUGGUUAACAUGUUCAAGAACAAGAGGGUCCUCAUGGAGAGUAUCCACAAGUCCGAGGCUGAGAAGGAAAGAGAGAAGACCCUCUCUGACCAGUUUGAUGCUUCAGUUUGAGGCCAAGCGUGCUAAGAGCAAGGCUAGCUAGCAGGGAGAGGAAUAUUGUGAGGAGGCAGGAGAGAUUGGCUCAGGUAAGAUGACUUUCACUUGAGCCCUGUCUAUUUCCUCACAUAGUUUGAUUUGUGCUGCAUUAUAUUGGUACUGAAAUACAUAAUGCGUGCACAUGUCUUCUGUUGGAUGUUUCAGAGAUGCUUAUGCAGGGUUUCUUUAAUCAUUUUGGUUCAUGGUACCAGCUAAUGAAAUUUACGUGCUCUGAUGAUGAAUUCGUGCCAUGUCGAGUUGGAUUGGCGGUGGCGUAUUUUUCCUCUUGUAGUCAAAUUAGUGAGAUGCUUCGUUCUCUUCUUUAUGUGAACGUACAUGUAUGACCAGUGUAAUUAGGUGCAGUAGUUUUGGUCAAUGUCAAAGCAGAAGAGAGCUACAUGUAUGACCAGUAUUGAAUCACGGCGAGAGAGUAAUGUAGCUUCGUCCCUCCCUGAUGCUGCUAAUGCAAGAUGCAUAGGAAUCUUAUUCAAUAUCAAAAAUUGACAUACCGUGCAAUCAUGUCUAAUGUCUUUCAUUAAAUCUCCGCGGAGGUGCCGGCCGGCCGGUACAUAUCCCGAUCUACUUGGAUGUGCAGACCUGGGAGUUGGAACAAUUCACCAAGAGAAGCCAGUUCGUGUAUAACAGAAUGGGUGGAAUUUAUCAUGAGAUCCUACCCAAAUCCGAGUACUUCUCCAAGGCACUGUACACCUUCCAUUUCGCUCAAAACAAUCUCUCUGUGGGCUACUUCACCAAUAAGACUACCAAACAUAUUGAGGCCUAUGACCCCAAUCCGAAGGAGCGGUUCACUGUGGCAAUGCAGAUGCCCCGAGAAGAGGUAGUAGUGGUGGUGCGGGCGCGCCGUGGGCGAGGUGGGCUUCGGGUGUAGCGGCGGGGCCGGCUGCCCCAUCGAUGGCAGCGCGAUGCCCCCCGUCGUCGGGGGUACGCCACC